UUACUCUCUUCUGCUAGGAAAUGUCAUUUUCUUCAACAUGAAAUAAGUUGGUGGUUAUGUAGAAAAGCAUCUCUGCUUUGAUUUCUGUGAAUGCUUCUUUUAUUUCUCAUUAUGAACCUCAAAUUCCUUACCGUGUAUGCUUGAUUAUAUCCAAGUAUACUACCAGAGAUUUAUUCAGAUAGUAAAAUGUUCAGUUGAUAGAUAAGGACAUGACAUAUCUUGGCUGAGGAUCUGGCUCACAAAUAUAACUGGGACACAAGAUGAUUACCUCCUGGCCAUUUUUGUACUUUAUCCCUGCAUAAUUUGGAGAAUUUAAAAUUUACAUGAGAUACUCGAUUCCUUGCUGUCUUACAGCAGUAGGACUGGGAAUAUUUCUACUGAAAUAUCACAGAAGUAAUCACUCUUGUGUAAUUUAUUAUCUGUAAAGGGAGUGUCAGAGACAAAUUAUCUUUAACAGAAACUUACUAUGAUAUUAGGCAAUUUGUAGUUCUCUUUAAAACAACAAAAAAUCCCUUAGCUAACUGAAGAUUACCAUUUGCAAAAGACAAUAAUUGCUGUCAUCCAUUUUUUAAAGAAGUUGGAAAGCUAACAAACAAACAAACAAAAAGAAAACAAAACAUUUUGAAGCUAGGAAAAUAACCGAAUAGGUGUACUGCUUGACAUCCAUAAAUUACUAUGUAAUGGAGAUUACUGAUAAUGGUUCUUGUCAUACAUAAUAUACUCAUACAAAAGGUUUGGUCCAGUCAAUUUCCUUCCCAACAACCAUCCCCAUCUUUUUUAUGUUGACCUAUGAUAAAACUAUGUUUGAUAGUACCUCUGUUCAGGAGCUUUCAAGUUGUAACUAUAGUUAUGUAAUGUG